rnacentral:rRNA from 1 species
GCAGAUCCAUUUUCUGCCACCGAAUACAUUAGCAUGGGAUAAUGGAAUAGGACCCUGUCCUCCUAUUUUCAGUUGGUUUUGGCAGCGCGAGGACUAGGGUAAUGAUUAAUAGGGAUAGUUGGGGGCAUUAAUAUUUAAUUGUCAGAGGUGAAAUUCUUGGAUUUAUGAAAGAUUAACUUCUGCGAAAGCAUCUGCCAAGGAUGUUUUCAUUAAUCAAGAACGAAAGUUAGGGGAUCGAAGACGAUCAGAUACCGUCGUAGUCUUAACCAUAAACGAUGCCGACCAGCGAUUAGGAGACGUUGAAUACAAAACACCACCAUCGGCGCGGUCGUCCUUGGCGUCUCGGUUUCGGGCGGGGCGCGGGGGCGGCUUAGCCCGGUGGCACCGGUGAAUGACUCCCCUACCAGCU